UACGUAGGGACCAAGCGUUGUUCGGAUUUACUGGGCGUAAAGGGCGCGUAGGCGGCAAUUCAAGUCAGCUGUGAAAUCUCCGGGCUUAACUCGGAACGGUCAGCUGAUACUGCUUUGCUAGAGUGCAGAAGGGGCAAUCGGAAUUCUUGGUGUAGCGGUGAAAUGCGUAGAUAUCAAGAGGAACACCGGUGGCGAAGGCGGGUCUCUGGGCCGAAAUUGACGCUGAGGAGCGAAAGCGUGGGGAGCAAACAGG
rnacentral:rRNA from 1 species